GCCUGGGUGGCUCAGUUGGUUAGCAUCUGACUUUGGCUCAGGUCAUGAUCUCAUGGUUUGUGAGUUCGAGCCCCACAUCAGGCU
rnacentral:tRNA from 1 species